rnacentral:tRNA from 1 species
UGCCGAGCUGGAGUACGAACCUUACUUCCUGACGGUCUACGACAUCGUCCGCUACGCCCGCUCGCAGGGCAUCCUGUGCCAGGGCAGGGGAUCGGCGGCCA